rnacentral:rRNA from 1 species
UAAUACGUAGGUGGCAAGCGUUGUCCGGAUUUAUUGGGCGUAAAGGGCGCGCAGGCGGUCUCUUAAGUCUGAUGUGAAAUCUUGCGGCUCAACCGCAAGCGGUCAUUGGAAACUGGGAGACUUGAGUGCAGAAGAGGAGAGUGGAAUUCCACGUGUAGCGGUGAAAUGCGUAGAGAUGUGGAGGAACACCAGUGGCGAAGGCGACUCUCUGGUCUGUAACUGACGCUGAGGCGCGAAAGCGUGGGGAGCAAACAGG